AUUGAACGCUGGCGGCAGGCCUAACACAUGCAAGUCGAGCGGAUGAAGGGAGCUUGCUCCUGGAUUCAGCGGCGGACGGGUGAGUAAUGCCUAGGAAUCUGCCUGGUAGUGGGGGAUAACGUCCGGAAACGGGCGCUAAUACCGCAUACGUCCUGAGGGAGAAAGUGGGGGAUCUUCGGACCUCACGCUAUCAGAUGAGCCUAGGUCGGAUUAGCUUGUUGGUGGGGUAAAGGCCUACCAAGGCGACGAUCCGUAACUGGUCUGAGAGGAUGAUCAGUCACACUGGAACUGAGACACGGUCCAGACUCCUACGGGAGGCAGCAGUGGGGAAUAUUGGACAAUGGGCGAGAGCCUGAUCCAGCCAUGCCGCGUGUGUGAAGAAGGUCUUCGGAUUGUAAAGCACUUUAAGUUGGGAGGAAGGGCAGUAAGUUAAUACCUUGCUGUUUUGACGUUACCAACAGAAUAAGCACCGGCUAACUUCGUG
rnacentral:rRNA from 1 species